ensembl:miRNA
AGAGUGUUCAAAGACAGCAAGAAAAAUGAGGGACUUUCAGGGGCAGCUGUGUUUUCUGACUCAGUCAUAAUGCCCCUAAAAAUCCUUAUUGUUCUUGCAGUGUGCAUCGG